UAAGCAUAUCAAUAAGCGGAGGAAAAGAAACCAACAGGGAUUGCCCUAGUAACGGCGAGUGAAGCGGCAACAGCUCAAAUUUGAAAUCUGGCUCUCUUUCGGGGGUCCGAGUUGUAAUUUGCAGAGGGUGCUUUGGCGUCGGCAGCGGUCUAAGUUCCUUGGAACAGGACAUCACAGAGGGUGAGAAUCCCGUACGUGGUCGCCUGCCUUCGCCGUGUAAAGCCCCUUCGACGAGUCGAGUUGUUUGGGAAUGCAGCUCUAAAUGGGAGGUAAAUUUCUUCUAAAGCUAAAUACUGGCCAGAGACCGAUAGCGCACAAGUAGAGUGAUCGAAAGAUGAAAAGCACUUUGGAAAGAGAGUCAAACAGCACGUGAAAUUGUUGAAAGGGAAGCGCUUGCAGCCAGACUUGCUCGUAGUUGCUCACCCGGGUCCGCCCGGGGCACUCUUCUGCGAGCAGGCCAGCAUCAGUUUGGGCGACCGGAUAAAGGCCUCUGUCAUGUAUCUUCCUUCGGGAUGACCUUAUAGGGGAGGCGUAAUGCGGCCAGCCCGGACUGAGGUCCGCGCAUCUGCUAGGAUGCUGGCGUAAUGGCUGUAAGCGGCCCGUCUUGAAACACGGACCAAGGAGUCUAACAUCUAUGCGAGUGUUUGGGUGUCAAGCCCGGGCGCGUAAUGAAAGUGAACGGAGGUGGGAACCCUCUCCGGGGGGUGCACCAUCGACCGAUCCUGAUGUCUUCGGAUGGAUUUGAGUAAGAGCAUAGCUGUUGGGACCCGAAAGAUGGUGAACUAUGCUUGAAUAGGGUGAAGCCAGAGGAAACUCUGGUGGAGGCUCGCAGCGGUUCUGACGUGCAAAUCGAUCGUCAAAUUUGGGCAUAGGGGCGAAAG
rnacentral:rRNA from 1 species